GAUGAACGCUAGCUACAGGCUUAACACAUGCAAGUCGAGGGGAAACGCCAUCGUAAGCUUGCUUUUGAUUGGCGUCGACCGGCGCACGGGUGAGUAACGCGUAUCCAACCUUCCCACCACUUGUGGAUAACCUUGCUAAUUUAAGACUAAUACCCAUUGAGAUCCCACGAAGGCAUCCGAUUGUGAUUAUAGUUUUAUCUGUGAUGGAUGGGGAUGCGUCUGAUUAGCUUGUUGGCGAGGUGACGGGCCACCAAGGCAACGAUCAGUAGGGGUUAUGAGAGGAAGGUACCCCAGAGUGGAACAGAGACAAGGACCAAAAGGCUACGGGAGGGAGGAGUAAGGAAUAUAGGGGAAUGGGCGAGAGCAUGAAAAAGCCAAGUAGAGUGCAGGAAGACGGCGGUAUGGGUUGUAAACUGCUUUUAGAAGGGAAUAAAGUGGGUAAAGGGUGAGUUAGUGAAGGUAACUGAUGAAUAAGGACCGGCUAAUUACGUG
rnacentral:rRNA from 1 species